GGUCGUUACGUUGAAUUUUAGUUAUUUCAUUUUCUAUAAUAUCGCUGAAGGUUUAGGUUCGGUUAAGUUCCCCUUCACCGUCAAUUACCUUGACGUGGUGGGAGGGCUCAGAACGGUCGUGCUAAGCAGUCUCAUAAAAAAUGAUGGUUAAUAACACUAGUUAUUGAACGAAUUGUAUUACCUAUUUACUUGCAGCACCGGUCCUUGUAUCUUAUGCUAUUUUGGACCUACGGUUCGGUUACCCAGAAAUAACCGUACAUUUGUUUUGCAAAAACACGUCGGGUUGGUUACAGAGAUAAAACAAAUUAAUUUCGUUUCAAAAAAUAAAAUUAAGUGUAAUGUAGUUUUAUUUUUUUAAGUUUUAAAUUCAAAUUUUAACGAUAAUCGUUAAAAUAUUAUGGCCUUUCAAAACAUGUAUAACUGAAC